rnacentral:rRNA from 1 species
GGUUAAGUGAAUAAGGGCGCACGGUGGAUGCCUUGGCACUAGGAGCCGAUGAAGGACGGGACUAACACCGAUAUGCUUUGGGGAGCUGUACGUAAGCUAUGAUCCAGAGAUUUCCGAAUGGGGGAACCCAGCAUCUUUAAUAGGAUGUUACGAUUGUGUGAAUACAUAGCACAUUCGAGGUAGACGCAGAGAACUGAAACAUCUAAGUACCUGCAGGAAGAGAAAGAAAAUUCGAUUCCCUGAGUAGCGGCGAGCGAAACGGGAAAAGCCCAAACCAACAAGCUUGCUUGUUGGGGUUGUAGGACUCCAAUAUGGUCGUUCUUUCAGAUAGUCGAAUGACUUGGAAAAGUCAGUCAAAGAGGGUAAAAACCCCGUAGACGAAAUGUGGAAGACACCUAGGAGGAUCCUGAGUACGGCGGAACACGAGAAAUUCCGUCGGAAUCCGGGAGGACCAUCUCCCAAGGCUAAAUACUCCCUAGUGACCGAUAGUGAACCAGUACCGUGAGGGAAAGGUGAAAAGCACCCCGGAAGGGGAGUGAAAUAGAACCUGAAACCGUGUGCCUACAACAAGUCAAAGCCCGUUAAUGGGUGAUGGCGUGCCUUUUGUAGAAUGAACCGGCGAGUUACGAUUGCAUGCGAGGUUAAGUUGAAGAGACGGAGCCGCAGCGAAAGCGAGUCUGAAUAGGGCGUUUGAGUAUGUAGUCGUAGACCCGAAACCAUGUGAUCUACCCAUGUCCAGGUUGAAGGUGCGGUAAAACGCACUGGAGGACCGAACCCACGUACGUUGAAAAGUGCGGGGAUGAGGUGUGGGUAGCGGAGAAAUUCCAAACGAACUUGGAGAUAGCUGGUUCUCUCCGAAAUAGCUUUAGGGCUAGCCUCGGAAUUGAGAAUGAUGGAGGUAGAGCACUGUUUGGACUAGGGGCCCAUCUCGGGUUACCGAAUUCAGAUAAACUCCGAAUGCCAUUCAUUCAUAUCCGGGAGUCAGACUGUGAGUGAUAAGAUCCAUAGUCGAAAGGGAAACAGCCCAGACCACCAGCUAAGGUCCCAAAAUAUAUGUUAAGUGGAAAAGGAUGUGGGGUUGCACAGACAACUAGGAUGUUGGCUUAGAAGCAGCCACCAUUUAAAGAGUGCGUAAUAGCUCACUAGUCGAGUGACCCUGCGCCGAAAAUGUACCGGGGCUAAACAUAUUACCGAAGCUGUGGAGUACACCUUUAGGUGUAUUGGUAGGAGAGCGUUCUAAGGGCGUCGAAGGCAGAUCGUGAGGACUGCUGGAGCGCUUAGAAGUGAGAAUGCCGGUAUGAGUAGCGAAAGACAGGUGAGAAUCCUGUCCACCGAAUGACUAAGGUUUCCUGGGGAAGGCUCGUCCGCCCAGGGUUAGUCGGGACCUAAGCCGAGGCCGAUAGGCGUAGGCGAUGGAUAACAGGUUGAUAUUCCUGUACCCGUUGUUUUUGUUUGAGCAAUGGAGGGACGCAGGAGGCUAAGGAAUGCAGACGAUCGGAAAUGUCUGUCCAAGCAGUAAGUCUGAAGAGGAGUCAAAUGCUUCUUUUCUUAAGGACAA